CUUCAACAUGAGUAGCCCUCCAUGCAUCACAAUGGGGGCCACUCAAAGCAUGGGCAAUGGAUGAUGAGGACAGUUUGGUAGGCAGCUGCUGAAUGAAGAGCCGGUUGCUUUAUUGGAAGACCUCGCACAGGUUGUGCAUGGUACUGUAGCAUUUUUGAUGAAGCUGGGCCGCUGCAGAUCCUCCAGUCGCCACUGUCCCAGUGUUCUUUGCUGCAGUAUCGUGCCCUCCUGCUCUGCUCGCUUUGUGAACAUCAGUCUCUCCUCCUGCGACUCCAGAAUGACAUGAAAGCAAGGACAACCCUGCCUCCUUACUCCAGAAUGGCAGUUUACGUAAGACCCAUUACAACUCUAGCUGUCAGGAAAUGUUUGACCCUUUCAACCAGCACUAGACACAGAGCACCCAGAAAACUGCAACCACCGACUUCUGACAUGUUCAAGUGACUUCAGAGAAAACAAUCCUGUAUUACAUGUGGACUUGGCAACUCUUUGGGAUAGUC